UCCACGAGGGAUAGCUCAGUCAGUAGAGCGCAAGACUCUUAAUCUCAGGGUCCCGGGUUCGGGUCCCACAUUGGGCGAAA